rnacentral:tRNA from 1 species
GGGCAGGUGAUCCGAUUGGUAAUGGUGAUUCUCUGUAAAAGAAUUGGUUAGCGCCAUAAAAGGUUCGAUUCCUUUACUGCUCA